rnacentral:misc_RNA from 1 species
GCCAUCUUAUACCUCAUAUGAUUGAGUGAACCCCAACGGUCCAGGGUAAGAAGAGAGUAAAUGCUCUUCUCCACUUCUUCACUUGCUAGCUUGGUGCUCACAGGAUAACAAUUUCGUGCAGAGACUUUUGGGGGCCGCUUAGUGAACCCCAUUUGAGAGAAAGCUCUGGCUGUUCCGGCGCUGCUUAACUGUGGACACAUUGCAG